UACGAAGGGGGCGAGCGUUGUUCGGAUUUACUGGGCGUAAAGGGCGCGCAGGCGGCUACAUUUGUCAGGCGUGAAAGCCCCGGGCUUAACCUGGGAACUGCGUUUGAUACGGUGUGGCUAGAGUUCGGGAGAGGAGAGUGGAAUUCCCAGUGUAGAGGUGAAAUUCGUAGAUAUCAGGAGGAACACCCAUGGCGAAGGCAGCUCUCUGGGACGGUACUGACACUGAGACGCGAAAGCGUGGGGAGCGAACAGG
rnacentral:rRNA from 1 species